CAAACUAAGAAGUACAAUGUCCCAACAGCGCCUCGACUCAUUCAUGAUUUUGUACAUUGAACAAGAAUUGGCUUCGUCAGUUAAUUACAACGAUGUGAUUGAGGAAUUUAAGUCCAUAACACCUGGUGCGGCUGACGGAGAGGCUGCAGAAUCCGGAUCGGCGAUGGCCACCGACCGUGGAUCACAGGUGUAGAAGACAGAGCGAUCCAGAGAGCCGGGAUCCUCCCGUCCUGCAAUCACAGCUACCAGGUACCUCCUUGCGCUCCUGCCCCACAGGCUCCCUAGGGCCGUGUCCCUGGUGUGAGGGGCUCGGCUCAUCCCCGCCCCUUGGGAUCCCUGGCCU